GGAUGGUCCUCAGAAAUGAUUGCCAAAUACCCGGUGGUCCUCAGUUUGAGUUUGGAGAGGAGACUUAUCCCGAGGUGUUCGGUAGUUAAAGUUUUGUUGUUGAAAGGUUGGAUUGAUGACAACUUGAAUUUGGGUUCGGUGCUGAAACCUACGGAUAAGCAGUUCUUGGAGAUGUUUGUGAACAGAUAUCUUGGCAAAGUACCUCGAUUGUUGAGUGUGUAUCAAGGAAAGGUGGAUAUCCAGGAUGCAUGAUCAUGGUACGCGGAAUUUUCCUUCAAGUAAGGUUUAAUUUGUAUUCAACAUCUUACUAAAAUUUUGCUGGAAAUAAAUUCAUUUUGGCCUCGCUGUUUUGAUUUAGAUUUUAUACAUGCCUUCUUCGUAGUGUCAUCAAUCUCUUUCUGUUUUUUGUCCCUGAUUUUGGUUAGCCUUGAAAGUUGAUUGUGUAGAAUGUGCACAUAUCUUGCUUUUAAUAGGGUUCAAUGCUGUCUGUUUUGAGUGAGGAGUGGAGAAACUAAUUUUUGUUCACUUCCCAAAUUAUAUGAUAGAACGGCUGUCACUCCUUUAUCCCAUGCUCUGUUACUAAUAGGAACUCCUGACAAAGUGUACGGCUGCUUUGUAAUCAUUUUCUCCUGUUAUUCUUAAUGACGACGCGAUAUCUGCAAUGCUUGUAGAACUGGGAUCUUCAGAGUUCAGGUGGCAAAAAACCCAGUUCUGGUGGGGAUGUAAUGGAUUGUGCUUUGGGAAUUUUAAUAUUUCGGGUGAAUCUAUUUAUAAGGCCUAUGGAGAUUUUCUGAUCUCAAGAGAUUGGAAAGAGACUUCCUACUAACAACAAUUCCCAGUUUACAUUAAAAACUACCCUGAUCCUUUUACCUAAAGCUAUCAACACGGAGAGCGUUGUAACAGCCGGAAAAGGGAUUGCCGGGUAUCUGCGCACGUCUGGAGUCUGGACUGUGUACCUUCUGUAUUUGUACUUAAUUUUAGCUCAGCUAAGGCAGUUGGUUUCUGCAAUAUGUGUGGAACCAACUAUCCAAACAAGUAGCAUGCCAACAAAUAAGCAACAAAGGUAAACGCAUAAGGAGGGAAGCAGUGUAACAGUGUCUAGUAAUUUUUGAUGUAAUACUGUUGAUAAUGUUAUUAAUAAUUAGUUUUGCAGCGGUAUAUUGACUUGCAUUUAUACCUUUUUCUUGAACAAUCAUGGUGGUGAUGAGGGUUUGAUCGGGGGUGAAGGUGGUGACUACAUUUUCUAUACAAGCGAUUGUUGACAGUGAAUUAAUUUAAACUACGGGAAAAGCAGACUAUUCCAGCCAACUUGGCUAAGCUAAGGUCUACAUAUAUUGUUGGUUAUUAGAUUGAAUAAAUCAAAGGAGAAUUAAGACAAAAAGUAAACAUGGGUGUGCGUAAGAAGAAACUAGAUGUAUGAAAUCAUAUUAUUACGUGUACAUAUUAGAUGCCUGAAUUUUGUAUUUUUGUACUUUAUAGCUAAAAUUUUCGAUGUAUUUUUCAAGACAUAGGGCCGAAUAAUUCACGUCCAUAUUUUUUUCAUAAUAAUAUAUUUACAUCAAGGGGGUGGGUACUUGAGAGAAGCGAUACAAUAUGCCGGUCAUAAUAAAAUGGUAUGGAAAUCAUCUUCCACUAGAGGCAAAUUUAAGACCUCUCACAAGUAAAAAUAAAUACCACUAAACUGGUGGUGCUAAGUGACAAUAUACGUCCAUAUUUUUAACGUACUAUACAUCUACGAGCCUCGUUUGGGACGUCGGGCAGUAUUGAUUGUUUCAGUCGGACAUACUAAUUUGUAAAUCUGAUAGUACUGACUAAUUAAUCGGCAUAGUGACUAUAUUAUCAAACACUUGGUGCUAUAUCAGAUGAAGAGGUCGGACUAUUUAAAUUUUUAAUUACUUGUUGAGCGGCAUAAAAUAGGUAGGAGCAGAUUAGUUUCUUCAAUUCUUAUUUAAUUAGAUAACACCAACACUUGAUUCGUACUAAAUAGUAUAUCCGGCGGUUUGCUAAGCUAAACCCUAUAAUACUAACUAUCCACCUUAAGCACCAGAGAUUUUUUAGUGUGCGGAUAACACUGCACAUCAAGUCAAGUAUAAUAAUAAAAUGGGUAAAUAUUAGUUUACUACCUUCAAGUCUCAUGGUUUUCAACAUUUGGUACAUGAAGUUUUUUUUGUCUCAGAGUCAUAUCUAAAAUGUUAAUUUUGGGAUAGUCUCAUACAUCCGUUAGUCUGUCUGUUAAGUCUCUCGUUAACUAAUGACGUGACACCCAUGUGGACAAUGAUUGGUCACCACGUGUCAUUAAAGGGGUGCAGGUGGAAAUUUAAAAUUCAAAAAAAAAAAAACCCACCCAUCUUCUACCUCCCCGAACCCUCCAUCCUCUCCUCUGCAAUCCGUACCCUUCUUUCUCUUCCCUACAACCCGCACUACCUUCCCUCAUCUCCUCUGAUCCAUAGCCUGCCUCAGCUCCCUCAGCCACCACCGUAACCACCGCAGCGGCAUCAACAACAAAACCACCAUUAGCAGGAUAAACUGCCCUGUUACAGCCAAAGCACCACCAACAACAAGAUGAAGGGGUUGUUCAAGUCCAAGCCCAUAACCCCCGCCGACAUAGUUUGGUACACCCGAGAUCUCCUUGUCUAUGCUUUGCACACUCCCGAUUCUCGUGAAAGCAAACGCGAGGAAAAAGUACAUAUUUUCCUUCCAUUGUUGAUUUUGUCAAUCAAAAUCAAUUCAAUUCGAUCCGAUUGAAAUUUUGAUCAGAUUCUUCCUUGCUUCUAUAUUCUAUUAUCUUAAAACAUUGAGAAAAUUGGGAUCAAUUGUGUUUUCCAUAAGCAAGUGGACCCCUUCUUAACCUAUACAUUUUUAUAAAUAUUUACCUAGCAUGCAUGGCCUAUUUCAUGAUUUGAAUUUGAUUUAUAUUAUGCCUUCGUAGAUUUCUAUAUUUAUGAUUUAAGAAAAAUUAAGAAUGAUUUAAAUUACUUUUACGAAGGUUAUUACUUAUCGAACUACAUUCCAUUAAAGGUGAUGAAUUAUGGAUUUACAUAUAUGAAUUCUUUGGCUUUCGAUUAUGAUUUAUAUUAUGGAUUCAUGAGAUGACACUUUGAGUUUGGUGAGCUCUGGUUUUGAUACGAGAUUUUGAGACAUGUUUUUAGUACUUAUCUAGUGGGUUAUCAUACGGCACAUCCGCACACCACAGGUAUAGAUGUCUAUGGUCAUAGGACACAGAUGAUGGAGAAGUGAGAUAUGAUAUAUUAUAUACUCCUACCUUCACUAGCCACGGCUAGUGUCGGUGUGGAUGUUAUGCUAUUUGAUUCAGCUUUACCUACGGGUGAUGGACAAGUAUUGCCUUCGUGCGACUAUGAUACCUCUAGUUGAGUACUUCACAUAUAUGAUUUACAAAUGUUUAUAAAUGUUUUUCACAUCAUGCUAGGGUUUUCAUAAAACCUACUAUAUAGUAUCAUAUAUGUUUCCAAAAUAGGGGGUUAGUAUGUUUUGAAAUAAACUAGUUUUUGUAUUACUAGUAUUAUUGUUAUAAACUUUGGUCCACUCACAUUUUCUGUUUUCGCACCCCCUCAGGAGUUAGAUUCGAGGCACAUGAUCCUAGUGUCAAGACAUUCCCACUUAGGCAUCUUCGAGCCUCUUCUGUGUGAAUCUCAUUCCUUGGUUCGUACCUUUCUAUAGUAGUUCUUUCACAUUAUUCUUCCUUAGUUGUAUGCUCUGAACACGAUUUUUCUUUGGUUUAAUCUGUUUUAAUUACCUAUUUUAGUCAUAUGCGUGUUUAAAAUGGCUUCGUCACCCUCGGGUGUCGGCCAACAUGUGCAUACCCUGAUAUUUGGGGAUAUCGGGGUUGGGGCAUGUCACAGGUGGUUUUUUUUUUUUUUUGAAUUUUUAAUUUCUAUGUGGAUCCUUAAUGACACGUGGUGCCUAAUUAUUAUCCACAUGGGCACUACGUCAUCAGUUAACGAGAAACUUAACAGCCAGACUAACGAAUGUAUGACUGUUCUAAAAUUAACACUUUAGGUAUGACUAUGAGACGAAAAAAGCUUCAUGUACCAAAUGUUGAAAAUCACGAAACUUGAGAGUAGUAAACUGAGAUUUACCCUAAUAAAAUUGGUUGGAAUCUUAAAAAUAAAAUUUCAACCAAUUAUAUUAUGACAGUGAAUCCAUCAACAUUGUUCCGAAUUUUCUUCUUUUGAGAAAUCCUGGUAAAACCUUUGCUACAUUAAUCAGUUUCUUUGAUUUCUUAUUACAUUCUUUCAGAUGGGCUGAAAGGACGAAGAGAAGAAGUGGGUGCGAAGUUGAGUUGUUGGCAUGCUACAGAGUACAGAUGAAUGAUUUCAGUUCAGCAGAAAACUCAAGUAUUCGUACAAAGUAUUCGAAAAUGAUCCAUCUUCAACCUAUGUUGUUUGACGAAACCAAUACUUGCGAAGUUUUCGUACUUUGAUGCUCGAAGUUUUUUCGUUUGAAGUGGAAAUGACAAUGCUUACUAGCAGGAAGCCUUUCUGGUCGUUAUUUUCUUCCCAUUUCUUUCAUGGUGUAUAAAAUUUGUGCUCUCUUUGGUGUGGACCGUGGUGCCUCUGCGGGUGGAAGCACAACGUCUCUAACCACAUGGUAAUGCAAGGUACAUUGGCAAUAAGGUGGAGAGGCCAAAGAUACUAUAAAUUGCAAUACAAGGCAUUAUAUUCCCCUCACUUGUGGCUAUACUUAGCCAAGCACGUGGAAGAGAAUGGGAUCAAAUAUUUAUCUUGACAUAAAGUUUAAUAUACUCUCGAUAUGGAGAAAUUCUUGUGUAUGAUCGUUCGUGUCACGUUACUUGACCGCUUGCAUUAGGCAUUUACCCAUUUUGAUGGGACCAAAUGCAAAGAUCUCUCUUACGUGAGUCUUGGACGAACGUAUGACAUGACAGCAUGUACUCAUGCCGAAAAACUCCUCAAUAUUGAACAAGGGUAAGUUGUUAUUCAAUAUACCUUAAUAUAUCUUUUAGUUAUUCAAUUUGAAAACUACAAAAAACGAGAUUGUGCAGAAAGAGAAACUUAAUCAUUUACUUAUCUCUCUUACACAUCUUUGUUAUGCUCUUGUAGUACGUUUCUAAUUCAUUUCGCCUUUGUCGUCUAUUUCAUUUUUAUUUUGCUUAACUCUCUUUAAAUUUAAAAUUUUCUAAAGCCUUCCAAGGUAAAGUUUUUAUUGAGGCUCAGUUAUUUGCAUCUCAUCCUCCAUUUUUAUACAUAUGCAUUCAAUCAGAUCAAUAAAUAUCAUACUUUUGCUAAAAUAAAAUAAAAACUCCUAAGCCAAAUGUACCCAAGUUUACCAUUUAAUUAAUCCAACGGCUAAAACUUGAUAGGGUGGGGAUUUCAAUUUUUUUGUUUUUUUCUUUUGGGAAAUGAAUUUCAAAUUGGUUUUUGGGUCCGAUAUCGGCAAAUCAAAAAUUGGUCCAAUGCGGUUCUUCCCUUUUCCCCCAAAAACUAAAACCCUCGACCUUUUGAAGCAUGAAAUUUAAAUCUCUGCUUUGGGCUGUAAUUUCUUUGCCUUGAUUUGUAACUACGAAGAAUGAAUCAAGAGUUCCUUUUCUGCAGAAAUUUUCCUAUCGCCAUGGAUAGCAGUACUGAGGUGGAGAUUUGCCGUCUGCUGAAGUAAGAAAACUUAUCCAAGCUCCUAUGGUUUGUCUAUAUCCCUUCGAAAUUCUAGGUUUUAAUUUCUCCAACUGAAAUUGUUCAUCGUCAACCUUCAACAUGAUGCAACUCUACAAUUUGAAGACCCUCCGAUUGGUUGGUUCAGUAUUUUCUUGUGCAUUUGCAUCCAAACCUAAAAGAUUUGUUCUUGCUGAUCCAAAACCCUCAAAACUUUGUCUUCCAAAUCAGAUGCUUUGCAGACCCUUCACCUCAGAAAUCUCAGAAACCCACCAGGAUUUCAAAGUCAAUUACCUCAAAAACACAUGUGGGUUGUCCCCAGAAGGUGCAAUUUCAGUAUCCAAAAGGGUGAAGCUGGAAUCUCCAAAAAAGGCAGAUUCUGUUUUAGCCCUUGUCAGAAACCAUGGACUAUCUCAAACCCAGAUAUCAAAGGUCGUUAGGUCACGUCCGCAGAUUCUUUCCGCCAAUCUGGAGAAAAUCCUUUUGCCAAAGCUUGAGUUUUUCAGUUCUCUCGGGGUUUCGAGGGUGGACCUUGCAAAAACUCUGGCUUAUAAUCCACAUCUUCUGGCAAUCAGUUUGGCAAACAGGAUUAUGCCCACUUAUGAUUUCCUUAGGAGUAUCCUUUCAGAGAAAAAUGUCGUUGCUCUUUUCAAGCGCUACUCAAGGAUUUUCACGGAAACUCGAUUCAAGAAUGUGAUACCAAAUAUUGAGCUUUUGAGAGAAUCAGGUAUGAGGCCACGAGGUAUCUCCUUAGUGCUAACAUAUUGCACUCCCGUUUGAUGGUGCGUCCUGAACAACUUGGUCAACUUGUGGCUGAGGUUAAGGACAUGGGAUUCAAUCUGAAAAAAACGACUUCAGUGAAUGCACUGCGUGCACUGUGUGGUAAGAAUAAGUUGGUAUGCAAUAGAUGUCGUGAAGCUUUGAAAAGGUGGGGUUGGUCUGAUGACGAUAUUCUCUCUGCGUUCAAGAAGAAUCCGCAUUGUAUGAUUGUGUCUGAGCAGAAGCUAAUGCAAGCAAUGGAUCUUUUAGUGAACAAGAUGGGAUGGUCCUCAAAAAUGAUUGCCAAAUACCCGGUGGUACUCACUUUGAGUUUGGAGAGGAGACUUAUCCCGAGGUGUUCGGUAGUUAAAGUUUUGUUGUUGAAAGGUUUGAUGAAUGACAACUUGAAUUUGGGUUCGGUGCUGAAACCUACGGAUAAGCAGUUCUUGGAGAUGUUUGUGAAGAGAUAUCUUGGCAAAGUACCUCGAUUGUUGAGUGUGUAUCAAGGAAAGGUGAAUAUCCAGGAUGCAUGAUCUUGGUACGUUGAAUUUGUCCUUCAAGUAAGGUUUAAUUUGUAUUCAACGUCUUACUAAAAUUUUGUAGGAAUCUAAUUCAUGGCCUCUCUGUUUUGAGUUAGAUCAAUAAAUGCUUUCUUCGUAGUGUUGUCAAUCUCUUUCUGUUUGUUGUCCCUGAUUUUGGUUAGCCUUGAAAGUUGAUUGUGUCGAUGUGCAGAUGUCUUAGCUUUUAUUAGGGUGCAAUGUUGUCACUCCUUUAUCCCCUGCUCCGUUACUAAUAGAAACUCCUGACAAUGUGUACGGCUGCUUUGUAAUCAUUUUCUCGUGUUAUUCUUAAUGGCGACGCGAUUUCUGCAAUGCUUUUAGAACUGGGAUCUUCAGAGCUCAGGUGGCAAAAAACCCAGUUCUGGUGGGGAUGUAAUGGAUGGUGUUUUUGGAACUUCAAUCUUUGGGUGAAUCUAUUUACAUGGCCCAUUGAGUUUUUCUGAUCUCAAGGGAUUUGGAA
rnacentral:lncRNA from 1 species